rnacentral:rRNA from 1 species
AUUGAACGCUGGCGGCAGGCCUAACACAUGCAAGUCGAACGGUAACAGGAAGCAGCUUGCUGCUUCGCUGACGAGUGGCGGACGGGUGAGUAAUGUCUGGGAAACUGCCUGAUGGAGGGGGAUAACUACUGGAAACGGUAGCUAAUACCGCAUAACGUCGCAAGACCAAAGAGGGGGACCUUCGGGCCUCUUGCCAUCGGAUGUGCCCAGAUGGGAUUAGCUGGUAGGUGGGGUAACGGCUCACCUAGGCGACGAUCCCUAGCUGGUCUGAGAGGAUGACCAGCCACACUGGAACUGAGACACGGUCCAGACUCCUACGGGAGGCAGCAGUGGGGAAUAUUGCACAAUGGGCGCAAGCCUGAUGCAGCCAUGCCGCGUGUAUGAAGAAGGCCUUCGGGUUGUAAAGUACUUUCAGCGGGGAGGAAGGGAGUAAAGUUAAUACCUUUGCUCAUUGACGUUACCCGCAGAAGAAGCACCGGCUAACUCCGUG